UGGGGAAUUUUGGACAAUGGGCGAAAGCCUGAUCCAGCCAUGCCGCGUGCAGGAUGAAGGCCUUCGGGUUGUAAACUGCUUUUGUACGGAACGAAACGGUCUUUUCUAAUACAGAAGGCUAAUGACGGUACCGUAAGAAUAAGCACCGGCUAACUACGUGCCAGCAGCCGCGGUAAUACGUAGGGUGCAAGCGUUAAUCGGAAUUACUGGGCGUAAAGCGUGCGCAGGCGGUUAUGUAAGACAGUUGUGAAAUCCCCGGGCUCAACCUGGGAACUGCAUCUGUGACUGCAUAGCUAGAGUACGGUAGAGGGGGAUGGAAUUCCGCGUGUAGCAGUGAAAUGCGUAGAUAUGCGGAGGAACACCGAUGGCGAAGGCAAUCCCCUGGACCUGUACUGACGCUCAUGCACGAAAGCGUGGGGAGCAAACAGGAUUAGAUACCCGUGUAGUCC
rnacentral:rRNA from 1 species